UGUUUAGUAACCGGGAUACGGGGAUCCGUGCAGUUUAUGCGAUUCACAUCUGGAACAGGACCGUCCUUCUGCAUGUUGGUCACAUCUCUCAGAGUCAGUGGAGAACGGGGCAUGUGCAUGUCCGUGGGAACCAGAAUUCCUGGGUUGGAAUGUGCCACCUCUGGCUGUGUGACCUUGGGCAAGGUGAUCUCUAAUAGCCCCGAUGUUCUCACAGUAAAGGGGCGUAUGUAAGAGCGCCUACCUCUCUGAGUUGUUGACAGGUUAAAUGGUUUUAUACAUGUAACGUAGUGUGCUGCAUGACACAGAGUGCCUAAUGAAUAUUAGUUUUAACCUGAUUACUAUUAUCAUCCACCUACAGUCCAAAUAGAAACUUAGAAAGAUGUUAUUUACUCUUUUAUACCACAUCUCCAAUAUAUCAAUUCCUAGCCAUUUUAAUUUCCAAAUAAUUUUUAAAUCUAUCUCAUCUCAUAUUUAUGCCACCAAAUAUGACCUUCCUUAUUAAUGGAUCCUAACUAUUCUUUCUUAUAUUGUGUCAUUCAUGUCAUGUCAUUCAAACAUUUAUUGUGCUCCAUCUAUGUGCCUAUUGCUGGACAUGGGAACAGAGACACCAUUACAAUCUCUAGCUCAAAGAAUCAAACCCAGUGCGGGAGACAAAUAUGUCAAUAACAACUAAGUGGAAUCAAUAAACUCAACACACAGCAAAUUAGUUGGGUUCCCCAAUCUUGCCAUACUCUCUCAAGCAUCUUGCUUUUGUGUAGGCUGCUCCUUUUUCUUGUUACAUCCUGAACCUCCACCUCUUCCUUACCUGCCUAAUUCCUGCUUAUCCUUUACCAUUCAACCCUGGUAUCAAUUCCGUUGUCAACCCUUACCCAUGGCUUGUUACCCAGCCCUGUCCUAUCCACACACCUGUAAGAGAUUUUCCCAUCCAUACCUGGGGCCAGAAAACAAAGGAGGUAAGUGGAAAUAUCUAGAAAUUGAACAAAUCAUUUUAAGGACACAAGUAUACUGCUCAGGUCCCAAAACAUGUACAAGGGUUGCCAAAAGCAGCUUAGAUUAAAGACAAAUUGUGUGAAGAAAGAAGAGAGAAGAAGCAGAGACAGAACUCAAUAGCAAGAAGGCCCAGCUUAGACCUUGCUAAGCAAAAGUCUGACUCCUAAAGUGAGUUGGAUGCAAUCAUUGAGCACCUUCUCAGACCAUGACCACUGCCUUCGCUGAGCUCCCUGAGGUGGCUGAAGUUCAAGUUGGAACCCUGGGCCUGCCUAGCCUUUACUUCCUCCACGAUGGGCCCUGUUGGCAUUACAUCAUCAUCCUAGAUUGGGAUGAAAUGCCACACCAUGGAGUAUGGGAACUGGCUUACUGAAUGGCUGGCUGCCAAGGGCUGAAAAUAUAAGGAGUUCCUCCCUCUGGGGUGAAACCUGGCUGAUGGAAAAUGAAAGGCAGGAGGGAUCUGAGCAGAAAACCUGGCUCCCCGCUCCCUGCAGUGGGCUGCCCCGAGCGUGGUUUCUUCUUGCAGCCUUUCCCGAGGAGUCCCGAGUUCCAAGUGGACACACCUGCCAAGCACCUGCCAUGUCGUUGCCAAUUCCUGUCACACCAAGUUGCUUUGCCUCUUUAUUACCUUCCAUCUAUUGUUUCCUCCUCACCACCAUCUGUGGCUGCACUUUAAUCCUUUUUUUGUCGUAUGUGUGUGUGUGUUUAAAGCAUUUUGCCUUUUUUUUUUUUAAUUGACUCUAGAAAGGGAGGGAGGGAGGGGGAGAGAGAGAGAGAGAGAGAGAGAGAGAGAGAGAGAGAGAGAGAGAGAGGGAGAGAGAGAGAGAGAUCAAAGUCUGGGAGACAUAUCAAUCUGGUGCCUCCCACAUGCUUCCCCUCAGGGGAUCAAACCUAAGACCUAGGUACUGCACUGACCGGGAAUUGAACUAUGACCUUCCAGUGCACAGGAAGAUGCCCCAACCAGCUGAGCCAUACUGGCCAGGGCACUCACCUUAAUCCUUGUGUCUGCUUC